UUCCGUAGGUGAACCUGCGGAAGGAUCAUUAGUGAAUCUUCAAAGUCGGCUCGUCGGAUUGUGCUGGUGGGCAACCACAUGUGCACGUCUACGGGUCGCAAAUCCACACACCUGUGCAUCUAUGACUCUGAGUGCCGCUUUGCAUGGCCCUUGAUUGGACCUGGCGCUCGAGUACUUUUCACACACUCUUGAAUGUAACGGAAUGUCAAUGUUGUGCACAAUGUACAAACGAAACAACUUUCAACAACGGAUCUCUUGGCUCUCGCAUCGAUGAAGAACGCAGCGAAAUGCGAUAAGUAAUGUGAAUUGCAGAAUUCAGUGAAUCAUCGAAUCUUUGAACGCACCUUGCACCCUUUGGUAUUCCGAAGGGUACACCCGUUUGAGUGUCAUUGUAAUCUCACUACCAUCGACUUUGGUCUUUUCGGUAUGUGGACUUGGAUGCUGCCGUUGUUGUCGACGGCUCGUCUGAAAUGCCUGAGUGUACCCCGCUUUGCGGCGUAUUCGGUGUGAUACAUCUUCACCGGAGUUGAUCCUUGUGGUCGCGUCUGUAAUGGUGUGGCUCUAUGCUUCCAACCGUCUCUUUGGUUAGACAAUCUCUGACAAUUUGACCUCAAAUCGGGUGGGACUACCCGCUGAACUUAAGCAUAUCAAUAAGCGGAGGAAAAGAAACUAACAAGGAUUCCCCUAGUAACGGCGAGUGAAGAGGGAAAAGCUCAAAUUUUGAAUCUGGUGUCUUUGACUCCCGAGUUGUAAUCUAGAGAAGUGUUUUCCGUGUCGGACCGUGCACAAGUUCCCUGGAACGGGGCGUCAUAGAGGGUGAGAAUCCCGUAUAUGGCAUGGACUACCGAUGCUUUUGUGAUACACUCUCAACGAGUCGAGUUGUUUGGGAAUGCAGCUCAAAAUGGGUGGUAAAUUCCAUCUAAAGCUAAAUAUUGGCGAGAGACCGAUAGCGAACAAGUACCGUGAGGGAAAGAUGAAAAGCACUUUGGAAAGAGAGUGAAACAGUACGUGAAAUUGUUGAAAGGGAAGCGUUUGAAGUCAGUCAUAUCUGGCGGGAUUCAGCCGGGCUUUUGCCAGGUGUACUUCUCGUCCGAUGGGUCAGCAUCAAUUUCGACCGGGGGAAAAAGGCAUUGGGAAUGUGGCUGUCUUCGGGCAGUGUUAUAGCCUCGUGUUGUAUGCCUCGGUUGGGAUUGAGGAACGCAGCGCGCCGCAUGGCCAGGGGUUCGCCUCUUGACACGCGCUUAGGAUGCUGGCAUAAUGGCUUUAAGCGACCCGUCUUG
rnacentral:rRNA from 1 species